GUGCUCGCGUCAGCAGCACAUAUACUAAAAUUGGAACGGUACAGAGAAGAGUAGCAUGGACCCUGUGCAAGGAUGACAUGCAAAUUUGUGGAACGUUCAAUAUUUAA